AGCGCCUCGGCCGUGAGUGUAAAGCAGCGUGGAUGAGGAUCAAAGACCUCGUGGAAGUCUGGAUCAAGACAGGGAGAGGACAUCCGGCUCGGGCAAGUUUGUGUCCGGGUGCAACCAACGUCAGGAAAACCAUAUCAACUCUGUGCUCUCGCUCCUCUGUCUGGUUCAUCGCCAUGCAGUCUCUCGGCGGCCAACAUGGUGGGCGGCGCUCUUCGGCGGGCGGCCACGGCUCCACCAUUGCCCUGGGCGCGCGGGUGUGUGGCGUGGAGGCGGGGUGAAUAUGGGUGCCGGGAAGGCGUGGGGGAGGCGGGGGUGGUUGAGUAACACCCACCAGUUCCUCCAUGAGAGGGAAGGAAGAGGAAAAGCAGGAUGUGUGAUAACAUCUUGUGAAGGCUUGGCCUGCUUCAGCACUGGCAGCAUCUGCAUCAGAGGAUGAAGGAACGGCACAAACAGCUCCACCACCAUGCAUGACUUUCGUGAACCCCACCCACCCCUAACCCAGGGCUUCAUCAACUCUUGCCACUACAGCAUCCAACCAGCCAUCUAGUCUACUCUGUAUGUGUCUUGGUGUGCAGCUGUCAGCAGCUCAGUCCAGCUAUCAUGGAGAAAAUUGGGUGAGGCUGCCUUUCUUGAUGUCUGCUACUCGGAAGUCCAUUAAGGUGGAUCCAUCUGUGGCAGUCUCUCUUGUCAGCGUUCUGUCCAGACACCUCCUGAAGAUUGAUUGUUGGCUGGGUGGUGUCUCUCCAUACAAGUUCUGUUCAGUUGAUGUUUUGCUUUGCUGCAGCGGCUGACUGGGUCGUCAGGGCACCCCACCUGAAAUAUUCAACCAGUUAAUAACAUCAAGAUGCUCCAGUUCCCUCAGCAGCCUCAAAAUACAGGUUAUAAGAAAAAUGUUGGGUUUCUCAGGCAAGGUCUGAAAUAUGCUUUGCCAGAUUAAAAUCAUUAUCCAAUGGUAUGUUAAGUUAUUCCUUGUAGAAAAUGAUAAGGUAUAAUUUUAUCUGCUGUUAAUAAUAAAGAUAUUGGUGGGGACAA